rnacentral:rRNA from 1 species
UGACAGUCGAGCGGACAGAAGGGAGCUUGCUCCCGGAUGUUAGCGGCGGACGGGUGAGUAACACGUGGGUAACCUGCCUGUAAGACUGGGAUAACUCCGGGAAACCGGAGCUAAUACCGGAUAGUUCCUUGAACCGCAUGGUUCAAGGAUGAAAGACGGUUUCGGCUGUCACUUACAGAUGGACCCGCGGCGCAUUAGCUAGUUGGUGGGGUAAUGGCUCACCAAGGCGACGAUGCGUAGCCGACCUGAGAGGGUGAUCGGCCACACUGGGACUGAGACACGGCCCAGACUCCUACGGGAGGCAGCAGUAGGGAAUCUUCCGCAAUGGACGAAAGUCUGACGGAGCAACGCCGCGUGAGUGAUGAAGGUUUUCGGAUCGUAAAGCUCUGUUGUUAGGGAAGAACAAGUGCGAGAGUAACUGCUCGCACCUUGACGGUACCUAACCAGAAAGCCACGGCUAACUACGUGCCAGCAGCCGCGGUAAUACGUAGGGUGGCAAG